rnacentral:lncRNA from 1 species
UUUCGUCCAUUCCAGACAUGUUAUUUGGUUUGGGAAAAGGCUCGUACUUUAUACACUAAUGACAUAUCUUGUUUCUAUGAUGUGAUAUCGCGGAUGAUAAAUCUGAAGAAACAAGAAUUAGAUAUGUCUACUUACUUGGGACAAGUACAGGCAGUUAUGGAUGAAUUUGAGACGUUGAUGCCAGUUUCUGCUAGCAUUGAAAAGCAGCAAGAGCAACGACAAAAGUUGUUUCUAGUUCUUACUCUUGUUGGGUUUCCUAAUGAUCUCGACUCAGUACCCGAUCAGAUUUUGGCUAGUCCGACUGUCCCCACAGUUGAUGAAUUAUUCUCUCGAUUACUUCGCGUUGCAAAGCAGCAAGAGCAACAACAAAAGCUAUUUCUAGUUCUUACUCUUGCUGGGUUUCCUAAUAAUCUCGACUCAGUACGCGAUCAGAUUUUGACUAGUCCGACUGUCCCCACAGCUGAUGAAUUAUUCUCUCGAUUACUUCGCCGUGAUGCAGCACCAAGUCACCCAGUGAGCCUAUCACAGUCACUUGAUUCAUCUAUCCUUGUAUCCCAAUUAGUGGAGAAUCGGUCAUCUCAUACUAUGGAGAAUAGACGAGGAGGAGGUCGUUUUGGAAGAUCUAGACCCAAGUGUUAUCAGUGGACAAUCGGGCAUCUCAUACUAUGGAGAAUAGACGAGGAGGAGAUCGUUUUGGAAGAUCUAGACUCAAGUGUUCUUAUUGUCAUAAACUUGGUCACACUCGUGAAGUGUGCUAUUCUUUACAUGGUCGACCACCCAAAAAUGCUUAUGUUGCUCAGACCGAGCCUACAGGUAACCAGGAAUUUUCUUUAUCUGAAGGGGAGUAUAAUGAGUUCCUUAAAUAUCGAGCAAGUAAGCAGACAUCUCCACAAGUAGCCUCUGUUGCUUAGACUGUUACUUAUGUUGCUGGUAAUGCUUUUGCUUGUGUUUCCCAAUCUAGUCCUCUUGAACAAUGGGUUGUGGACUGAGCUGCUUCUGAUCAUAUCUCUGAUAAUAAAUCCCAUUUAUCAAAUAUUGCGUAUUCACAGUUUCUUCCCAACGUUACUUUAGCCAAUGGGUCUCAAACNNNNN